rnacentral:rRNA from 1 species
GACGAACGCUGGCGGCGUGCUUAACACAUGCAAGUCGAACGGAAAGGCCCUUUCGGGGGUACUCGAGUGGCGAACGGGUGAGUAACACGUGGGUGAUCUGCCCUGCACUUUGGGAUAAGCCUGGGAAACUGGGUCUAAUACCGAAUACACCUUGCUGGCUGCAUGGCUGGUGGGGGAAAGCUUUUGCGGUGUGGGAUGGGCCCGCGGCCUAUCAGCUUGUUGGUGGGGUGAUGGCCUACCAAGGCGACGACGGGUAGCCGGCCUGAGAGGGUGUCCGGCCACACUGGGACUGAGAUACGGCCCAGACUCCUACGGGAGGCAGCAGUGGGGAAUAUUGCACAAUGGGCGCAAGCCUGAUGCAGCGACGCCGCGUGAGGGAUGACGGCCUUCGGGUUGUAAACCUCUUUCAGUAUCGACGAAGCGCAAG